rnacentral:rRNA from 1 species
UACGUAGGGUGCGAGCGUUGUCCGGAAUUACUGGGCGUAAAGAGCUCGUAGGUGGUUUGUCGCGUUGUUCGUGAAAUCUCACGGCUUAACUGUGAGCGUGCGGGCGAUACGGGCAGACUAGAGUACUGCAGGGGAGACUGGAAUUCCUGGUGUAGCGGUGGAAUGCGCAGAUAUCAGGAGGAACACCGGUGGCGAAGGCGGGUCUCUGGGCCGAUACUGACACUGAGAAGCGAAAGCGUGGGGAGCGAACAGG